rnacentral:rRNA from 1 species
AGUGAACGCUGGCGGUAGGCCUAACACAUGCAAGUCGAACGGCAGCACAGUAAGAGCUUGCUCUUACGGGUGGCGAGUGGCGUACGGGUGAGGAAUACAUCGGAAUCUACUUUUUCGUGGGGGAUAACGUAGGGAAACUUACGCUAAUACCGCAUACGACCUACGGGUGAUAGCAGGGGAUCUUCGGACCUUGCGCGAUUGAAUGAGCCGAUGUCGGAUUAGCUAGUUGGCGGGGUAAAGGCGCACCAAGGCGACGAUGCAUAGCUGGUCUGAGAGGAUGAUCAGCCACACUGGAACUGAGACACGGUCCAGACUCCUACGGGAGGCAGCAGUAGGGAAUAUUGGACAAAGGGCGAAAGCCUGAUCCAGCCAUGCCGCGUGAGUGAAGAAGGCCUUCGGGUCGUAAAGCCCUUUUGUUGGGAAAGAAAAGCUGCAGGUUAAUCCCCCGAUGUUCUGACGGUACCCAAAGAAUAAGCACCGGCUAACUUCGUG